UACGUAGGGUGCGAGCGUUACUCGGAAUUACUGGGCGUAAAGCGUGCGUAGGUGGUUUGUUAAGUCUGAUGUGAAAUCCCCGGGCUCAACCUGGGAAUGGCAUUGGAUACUGGCAGGCUAGAGUGCGGUAGAGGGUGGUGGAAUUCCCGGUGUAGCAGUGAAAUGCGUAGAGAUCGGGAGGAACAUCUGUGGCGAAGGCGGCCACCUGGACCAGCACUGACACUGAGGCACGAAAGCGUGGGGAGCAAACAGG
rnacentral:rRNA from 1 species